rnacentral:lncRNA from 1 species
UCAAAGAAGAUGCAAAGUAUUAGAUUGGCCCAAGCGUUUCCAAAUUAUCUGUGGGAUUGCUAGGGGACUACUCUACCUUCAUCAAGAUUCCAGAUUGAGGAUUAUUCAUAGAGAUCUAAAAGCUAGUAAUGUUUUGCUUGAUAGUGAGAUGAACCCAAAAAUUUCAGAUUUUGGCAUGGCCAGAACUUUUGGAGGAGACCAGACUGAAGCCAAUACUAACAGAGUGGUUGGAACUUAGUAAGUCUACUUUUUCUGCAAAUUUGAUCUAUAAAUCCCCAUGAAACUCUUAUCUGACAAUGUUCUGCAGUGGUUAUAUGGCACCAGAAUAUGCUAUCGAUGGGCUGUUUUCGGUAAAAUCAGAUGUGUUUAGCUUUGGCAUAUUGUUGUUGGAGAUAAUAAGUGGAAGAAAGAAUAGAGGAUUCUAUCAUCAAAAUCAAAGCGGCAACCUUAUUGAACAUGUAAGCCUCAUUGUCAUUAUCUUUUAUUACAUAUCUUGAACUGAUGAAUGAUAAAAGAAUUUCAUUUUGCUGCAGGCAUGGAGAUUAUGGAAAGAAGGCAAGCCUUUGAAUCUUGCUGAUGAUUUCUUAGCAGAGACUGGCAGUCUAUCACAGGUGUUACGAUGCAUCCACAUUAGCCUCUUAUGUGUGCAACAGCAUCCUGAGGAGAGGCCAAGCAUGUCAUCCGUGGUUCUGAUGUUGGGAAGUGAAAAUGAAUUGCCUCUGCCCAAACAACCUGGUUUUUUGUUUCACAAUAGUCCCUUUGAAGCAGAGUCUUCAUCAGGCAACCAUGGAUCAUCUUCGAGAAACGAAAUAAGUUUAUCACUUUUAGACGCUCGAUAGAGGGUGAUAUGCUCCAAACCAUCAGUAAUGACUCCAAUCCCACUUGAUGUUUGGGGCAUGUGCUUUUAGAGCCAAUGCUAGUGAGAAAUGUUUCAGAAAUCAAACAUGCAAUCAAGUAUAAAUAGUGGUGUUUUGUUUAUUUCAUGGAUAGAUAAGAUUGAAGGGCCAAACUGAAGCUUCAUACAGUUAACAUGUACAAAUUCCAUGCAAUCUCUUCAUUUACAAGUUUUUGACUUAUCUUGUUUUCUACUGCAUUUAUGUAAUAUCAAGAGCCACCUAACCUUGUCAACUUGAAAAAUGAUAAUAUUAAUGCAUGAUGAGCCCAUCUUUCCCCUCAAUAUAAGUGUUAAUUAGUGUGAUAAAUGAAUCAACAAACUAACAUCAUUGUCUCUGUAUCAUUUUGUGCAUAAUCAAACAUUUGUUAUCAACAAGAAGAAAAGAUCAUUCAUACUACAGGGAUUGCUCAGUUCCUUUUGCUUAAAUCCAGAAGCGGCUAAGUACCAUGAGACUGUAACCUCUUUUUGGGGCACAAACGAAUGGACUUCACAUACAAGAUUAGUCAAGCUAACUAGCAAUUAGAUCUUUAACAGAGGCUAGGGAUUCCAAGGCUGUAGAGUUUUCAUCUUCAUCUUUGUUUCAUCGUAGUCCAACUCUUUGGUUAUGGGGGCUUCAAAGGAGUUGGAAGACGUAUCGAUGAGGUUGUCAGGGCGUCGCAAAACAAAAAGAAAAGGGAAGAGCACGCUGAUUGUACGUGACUGACAGCUGAUACGAGGUUGGCUUUGUCCUGUUGCAGACAAAGAUUUGGUGGGCCCAACACGUUGGCAACAAUAUCAAACGUAAGAGUGAUAAUAGAUUUGGCAAAGUCAUGAACACAUCACUCAGGGGAGGGGGAUUUGGCAAAAUUAUGGAGUGGUACUAGCAAUUAGAGGAAUGGGCCGACAUGCUUAAUGGGCUUGUAGUGCACUAGCAAUUUUUUAAUGGGCUUAUUGUGGAUCAAGGCAUGUUCUAAAGGGCUUCUUUUGAACAACAAAUAUUGGUUUUUUCUUUGUUAAAGUCAUUGUAGGAGUAGUCAUCAGCGUAAUUAAAAAACCGACAGUUCCGCUUGCCCGACGCUACUUUCCGCUUGGUUUUGUCAUAACAAUAAUGUUGACUUAAUAAUAAAUAAUUAUGUCAUUCACCAUGUAUUUUUGUUAGUUUUUGAAAGUUCUCUUUAGAUUUGCUGGCAUGACUUCAAAAUUAUAUAUAAUUAAAUAAUAUAUAUAUAUAUAUAUAUGUAUAGUAUUGUUUUGAAGAAGAAAAAGAAAGGAAAAUGGAGUUCUAUGUGCAAAAGAAUUGAUUUUAUUUGUUGAAUCAAAUAAAAAAUAAUUAAAUGUAUAAUUGAAAAAUCAUAUACAGAUUUUUUAAAAAACAGCAUAUCUAUUAAUUAGAAAUAAUAAUAAAUUAUAUAAAUAUGUGAUUAAUGUUAAUUGAUUAACUAUUUUAAAUUAAUUACAUUAAUGAAUUAACUAAUUAAUUAGUUAAUUAAGAUAAUUAACUAACUAUUUUAUUUCCAAAAUAAUUUAAAUUAAUUAAUUUAAUUCUUUAAAACUUAACUAAUUUACCAAAAAUAAAUAUUUAGUAAUUUCACAUAUUUUAAUAUAUAAAUAUUUAGUAUUUAAAUAUUAGGUUAGUUUUGUCAUGCUAUUAUUUAUUAUUUUAAGGGAUAAGGUUGAAAAAUUAAAAAUUUACCUGAAAAUAAUAAAUAAAAAGGUAAGUUUGAAAAUAUAAGGGUAAUUUUUUAAAUUUACAUUACAUUCUCAUACUUCCAAACCAAAGAAUACCAUCUAAUCUUCCCAGCAAUCAUAUUACAUGCAAUCAUCAUUUGUCUAUGAUAUAUAAAACGUUGCAAAGUUUUUUUUCAUUCAUCAUAUUCCCUACAAUUAUCAUUUUUUUAUAUUAUACAAAAUGCUGCAAAAUUCUUCUCAUCUAUCAUAUUCCCUACAGUCAUCACUUUUUCAUAUUAUAUCAAUGCUGCAAAAUUCUUCUCAUCAAUAACAUUCUCAAUAAUCAUAUUAUUAACAAUCACAUUUUCAAUAAAAUAUUAAAAAACCCGGUUUAUACUACUAAGAACAAACUAAUUAACAUGAAAAUAAGGGAAAUUGACACGAAGUCAAUUCUAUCGGUCCCUUAGGACUUGUGAUUGCAAUUUCUUGUAAAUUCAGCCUAAAAGUAUAGGAAGACUUGACUUUUUGGUAAUCAUGUCGACUUCAUAAUAGUUAUUGAGAAGAAAAAAUCUCCAUGACGUACGUUUUUUUUAAGUCUAGAUAUGCAUGUUUACUUAAUUACUUGCAUGUUGAGUGGUCUUGGUUUAAGUCAUAGUCUUACGGUCUAGUAGUGUACAAUGAAAUUAAUUUUAGAGGUUACUUUAUGAUAUAAUUGAGUGUAAAGUUCCCUGAUUUUUUUGUGUAACAAAGAACUUUAGCAUCUUGGGUUUAGCUCUACAUUAAGCUAGGGCAGACAAGAAUAUACCGUUUCAUAGUUUUUUAAACUUAACUGCAACUUAUUUCAGUUCCUAUUUAUCAAUAAUCUUAACUUGACAGCCAUCAUAGUUAAAUAUCUAGUUAAAGAUACUUCUAUCUCCAAGAAGAAGUUGAGACCUAUAGAAUAGUUGUAGUCUCUGUCACGAUUGAUGAAGAAUUCCAAGGUCAAUGGACCCAAAGUCUUGCCUUGAAGCCUGAAGGUCAAUGCUGUUUAGAAUGUUCAAUCAAAUGGCAUCUAUUCUUAUCUUCCCAGCAAAAGGCUUUCAGACCAUACAUCCAUGGGCAUGGAUAUCCUUUCUUUCAGUGCUUGUUUCCUCAUCAUCUUCUCGAAAGCUUCCAUCGCACUCGACAAGAUUUCUCCGUCUGAGUCACUCACUGAUGGCACGACCUUGGUCUCUAGUGAUGGAAGCUUUGCAUUGGGUUUCUUCACUCCGGGGAGUUCCAAGAAUCGUUACUUGGGAAUUUGGUACAAUAACAUCCCCAUGCAAACUGUUGUAUGGGUUGCAAACAGGAUAAAUCCAAUAAAUGACACCACUGGCUUGCUGAAGAUAGAAAGCUCUGGCAGAGUCGUGCUUCUAGGUCAGAACCAAACAACUGUUUGGUCAAUUAAUUCCACAGAAGCAGCUCAGAAUCCGAUUCUGCAGCUCCUGGAUUCAGGCAAUCUUGUUGUCAGAGAUGGAAAAGAUGGUGAUUCAGAGAACUACUUGUGGCAAAGCUUUGAUUAUCCAACUGAUACAAUGUUAGCAGGGAUGAAGAUUGGUUGGGACCUGAGAACUGGUUUAAAUCGAAGACUAUCAGCAUGGAAGAACUCAGAUGAUCCAUCUCCUGGGGACCUUACUUAUGGGGUAGAACUCCAAGGCAAUCCACAGAUGGUGCUGCGGAAAGGCUCAGAAAAGUACUAUCGCAGUGGCCUAUGGAAUGGCAAUGGGUUUAGUGGUGUACCAAAUUUAAGAUCAAAUCCGGUCUUUGAUUACGACUUUGUCUGGAAUAAGGAGGAGGUGUACUACAUAUUUUACCUGAAAAAUAAAUCGGUGAUGUCAAGGUUUGUUUUGAACCAAACUGAAAAGGUAAGACAGCGGUACACAUGGAACCCAGAAACUCAGACUUGGAAGUUGUUUUCAAUCAUGCCAAGUGACUAUUGUGACACACCUGGACUUUGUGGUGCAAAUGGGAACUGCGACAAUUCCAAGCUUCCAGCUUGCCAAUGUUUGAAAGCAUUCAGGCCUAAAUCGCUGGAAAGAUGGAACUCCUCAGACUGGUCUGAAGGGUGUAUACACAAUAAGCCAUUAAACUGUCAAAGGGGAGAUGGAUUUAUUAGAAUUGAGAGGGUGAAAACGCCAGAUACCUCACAUUCUUGGGUGAACAAAAGCAUGAAUCUUAAGGAAUGUAGGGCUAGGUGCUUGCAGAACUGUUCAUGUAUGGCAUACACUAAUUUAGAUAUUAGAGGAGGAGGUAGCGGCUGCGCCAUGUGGUUUGAUGAUCUAAUUGAUAUUAAACAAUUCCAAUCAUUUGGCCAAGAUCUUUACAUCAGAGUGUCUGCUUCAGAAGCAGGUAUCAGUUUAAAAUCGGAACAUAUUCUUGUUAAAGCUUGUGAUAAUUUCUUUUGGAAAUUGUUUAAUUAUAUUUGUGCUCCUUCAACAAUAUUGAUCAUGCAGAACUGAAAAACAAGUCUGAGGCGAAGCUGGCCAUGAUAAUUGCAACGCCAAUUGCUGUGUUCUUGGGGCUUCUUGUAGUCAUAUAUUACAUCCGGAGAAGGAGGAGAAAAUUAGAAGGUAAUAUCAACCAUGGUCCUCAUAAAGCAGGGGAAAGUUGGUAUUUGCUAUCAAAAUCAAUUUCGCCAACAGCAGCGCUAUCAAAUCCCUGCCCUGUUUUCAAGAAAACAGUAAUACUGAAAUUUGCCAUUUCAUUAUAUUCCUUAUCAAAUUUGAUAAUAGAUGGUUUUUAAUUUUGUUUUAUGAUCUGACAAAAAAGAGAGUCCAUGAACAAUUGGUUGGAUACUUUUGGUUUUGGUGUUCAGAAGAAGCAUACAGCUUUUGUUCUUCUCUCUAAAUCUAUCAAUAUGCAUAAGAAAGCCCAUUUCUAUGUUGAAUGCUAGCCUAUUUUGACUACUGUUUCAGAUGAAGUUGAAGAAAGGAUUGAAAAUGACCAAAAGAACCAAGGCCGGAGUGAAGAUAUGGACCUUGCUGUAUUCGAGCUUGGUACGAUAGCCAGAGCUACAGAUAGUUUUUCUUUUCAUAACAAGCUAGGUGAAGGAGGUUUUGGACCUGUUUAUAAGGUAAAGUUGACAGCAUAUUACUACAAUGAUCUCAAUUACAGAGAAUUCAUCUUCCUUGAAAGCUCAUCAAAAUGUUCUUAUUCUCCAGGGGACACUUGCAAAUGGACAAGAAAUUGCUGUGAAAAGACUUUCAAAGAGUUCCGGACAAGGAUUGAACGAGUUUAAAACUGAAGUAAAGUUGAUUGCCAAACUUCAGCAUCGGAAUCUUGUAAGGCUUCUUGGGUGCUGCAUUCAUGGAGAGGAGAAAAUGCUGGUUUAUGAAUACAUGCCUAACAGAAGUCUUGACUCAUUUAUUUUUGGUCAGAAACCUUUCAAUUUUAUAUUGUCUGCUCUCGGCUUAUGAAAUAGUUUUCUUUUGCUGCUUCAAAGGAUCAAAUAGAUAUAGAAUUAACAUGAAUGCAGUAUUUGACAGAUCAAAGAAGAUGCAAAGUAUUAGAUUGGCCCAAGCGUUUCCAAAUUAUCUGUGGGAUUGCUAGGGGACUCCUUUACCUUCAUCAAGAUUCCAGAUUGAGGAUUAUUCAUAGAGAUCUGAAAGCUAGUAAUGUUCUACUUGAUAGUGAGAUGAACCCAAAAAUUUCAGAUUUUGGCAUGGCAAGAACUUUUGGAGGAGACCAGACUGAAGCCAAUACAAACAGAGUGGUUGGAACUUAGUAAGUCUACUUUUUCUGCAAAUUUGAUCUAUAGAUCCCCAUGAAAAUGCAUACUUUUAUCUGACAAUGUCCUGCAGUGGUUAUAUGGCACCAGAAUAUGCUAUCGAUGGCCUGUUUUCGGUAAAAUCAGAUGUGUUUAGCUUUGGCAUAUUGUUGUUGGAGAUAAUAAGUGGAAGAAAGAAUAGAGGAUUCUAUCAUAAAAAUCAAAGCGGCAAC